rnacentral:sRNA from 1 species
UUAUUACCAAAUAUAAUAAGAAUUUAUUUUAUAUUUUAUAUGUUUUUAUCAAAGUUAAUAUUAUACGGUAUUAAUAUAUAAAAAACGAUCGAGAUUAACGUAAAAUAAGCGUAUAAUAUCGAAUAAAUAAUUAAUUAUAAACGCAACCACGGUAAAAUUAAAUAUUUUGUUACAUGGGAAAAUUAUAAAUAUAAAACAAAUAUUUGGAAAUUUUUUAAUUAUUUCCGAAAUUAAUAAAAACCGUUCCGCUGAUAUUAUUAAAAAUUGGAUUUGCAAAUGAAUUAAUUAAAAAAAAGGAAAGUUUAAAAGAAUACCACCUAUUAUUUCCAAAAGUUAAAAAACGACCAAAAUUUAAAAUUAUACCACCAAAUAAAUUUAAAAAAAGAUAAUUAAUAUUUAUUACAAAUUGAAAUAAAUAAAUAAAACAAUUAACCAAUUAAAUAUUGCGUAAAAAUAUUUAUUUUAUUUAAUAAAACAAGAUUUAAAAAAUUUAUCGGGAAAAUUAAAUUCCAAACAAAAUUAAAAUUGGGAAAAAACAAUUUAAAAAAUAUUUUAAAAAAGAUUUCGGUCAACCGCCGCCGUUUUUUUUAUUUUGUUUUUUAACGUUUUACGCGAUUUAAUUUUUCCAAAUUAUUUAUACCCCGACGGACCGUUUUUAUUAUUUUUUUAAAUUAUAUUUUUUUUAUUUUUACAAACGAAAACUUUUUUUUCCGCCGUUUCCAAUUUAAGUUUAAAUUUCGAAUAUUAAACCGCAAUUUUAUGCAAUUAUUUCAGGGAAAUAUUUAAAACGUUAUAUCGCGAAUCAUUUGAAUAAAUAUAUUUAAUAUAACGAAAAAAAUCCCGAAACGAUAUAAUAUAUUUCGCAAUUUUUUGCAAUUCGCAAAUAAAAUAAAAAAGUAUUUUAACCGUUAAAUUUUUUUUUAAAAAAAACAAAUCGUUGCGGCGAACGGUGGAAAAACGAUCGCGAAAUUUAUUAAUUCAGUUAAAUAUAAUGUAAAAAAAUUAACAAAAAAAAAACAAAACCGAAAAUAAAAAUUUAAAAAAUACAAAUUAUUUAAAAUUAAAGGAAUUUGGCCAAAAAAAGGAAAUUUAAUAUUACAAUUACAUAAUUGGGCCGGUAUUAAAAAAACCAGGUGGGGUUAUAUUUUUUUAAAUAAUAUUUGUCCGGAAAAAAUUACCGAUCGGCGGAAAUAAAAUUAUAUAAAGGAAAAAUAUAUAAUAUUACGUAAUUGCCAAAAAAGAUAUAAUUAAUAUAUCGCAUAUUAAAUAUAAUGAAACGAAUUAAUAUAUCGGUUAUGGAAUAUAUUAAAUAUAUUAUAACCGGGACUAUAAUAUAUAUAAAACGCGUUUAUUAUUAUAUAAACAAAUUCGAUUUUAAAAUUAUGUAGCAGCAAUUAAAUUUUAAUUAAUUUUAAUAUUUAUUUAAAAACGAUUAUAAUUUUA